UCAUCCAUAAGAAGCUGACUCGGUGGCUAAUGAUUGAGCGGCGAUUACGUAGUUUUAGUGGACGGGAGAGAGCCCUCAUUCACCGGAGAACCAUCACAAAAAUGAUAAUCCUCCAUCUCGCGUGAAGAGCAGUACAAUACACUGUACAAGGAGAUGGUGGAUCAAAAGAAAAGGGUACCAGAUUUCAGAUGAAUGUGGACACGUUUUGACGAUGUUGGAAGAGGAGGAGGAGGAGGGAGAGAGAAUUUUGAUGGUGAGGCAGAUGAAGGAGAGAGUGGGGGUGAUGGCGGGGGGAGGUCCAAGCCCCCUUCAUCUUGCUUUUAAUUUUUGAUUUUAACUUCUAUUUCUCUCUCUUUGCUUAAUGCAAUUAGUAAGUCGGUUAGAUAUUUUUAUUUCUUAUCGUCGCGGGACAUGUGACUUGGGGCACACGGCUUGCCACGAGAGGGGGUGAUCGCCCCAGUGGUUUUUUUAUCCCGUUCGUGGCCUUGCGAUGGAAGGCAUCGCGAAACUGCGUACUGUGGGCAGUCUGGAGAGGAGGAAGAGGCCAGUUUCCUCCUUUUUAAUGGGUUUCCAUUUUAAUUUAAGAAUAACAAUAGCAUAUAGAGAAGAAUAGAAAAGGGGGCGAGAGCUAAUAGAUAAAAUAAACCGCCCGGUUUCGGUGUCGGUCUUGUGGGCGCGGGUGCCGAAAGGACCGUCCGCCUUUUGGCUUCCCAGGGGUGAGGAGGCGCCCACUACAGUGGGCGGGUUCGUGGGGUGGACUCCGGUUUUCCUUCACCUGCCUUGCCUUGCCUUGCCUUGGAGGGAGAGAGAGAGAGACAGGGAGGGAGAUUUUUCCAAAUCCAUGCACGAUGGCCCCCGGUUUUGCUUCUCUCCCCCUUCUCCUUCUUCCUCCCUUUGUUUAUAUCUCAUCUCAUCUCAUCUCCCCUCACCUCAUCGUCUUCCUCCUUCCAACAACUGGCCCACACUUCCCCUUGUCCUUCUCCUAUUCACCCAGGGAUUGGAAAUCACACGCCCAGAUCAGAUCCCAAGCUUGUUCCACAAUCAAUCGCUUCUGGAUCACACCACUUCUUUCGUCCUACGAGAUUUUUGUAUUCCAAUUCGAGUCGCAUCAUGAUCUGCUGCUGAAAUAAGAUCUCAGAUUUCCCGAAUUGGAUUGGAUCGGAUUUUGUUCGUUCCGGGGAUGAAGGUCGAGGAGAAGAUAGGAGGAGGAGGAGGAGGAGGAGGAGGAGGACAGGCAGUGAACGGGAGCAGGAGGAGGAGGAGGAGGAGGAAUGGAGAGGAUUACGAGGAGGAGGAGGAGGAGCAGAUGAUGAGGAAGAGGACAGGGCGGCGGGUGCAGGCUACCUCCACCGCCAUCCAGAGGCUGUUCGUCGCCUGCCGGACCGCCUUCAAAGGCCCGGGCACCGUCCCCCUCCCGCCAGACGUCCAUGUCCUGCGCCUUCUCCUCGACAAAAUGAGACCAGAGGAUGUUGGCCUAAGCUCUGAUAUACUAUUCUUCAAGUCCAGGAAUGCUGUUAACGGAACUCCACGGAUUACAUAUUCAACGGUGUACAAGUGCAACAACUUUUCGAUGUGUAUAUUCUUCUUGCCCCCAACAGCAGUAAUUCCUCUUCACAACCAUCCAGGGAUGACUGUUUUUAGCAAACUACUUGUAGGGUCAAUGCAUAUAAAAUCAUAUGACUGGGUUGAUCCAGUUAUAUCUACCGACUCCAAGGGCUCAUCUCAGUUGAGACUGGCAAAAUUGGUGGUUGAUUCUGAUUUCACUGCCCCAUGUAACACAUGUAUUCUCUAUCCAACUUCUGGAGGGAACAUGCACACCUUCAGAGCCAUCACACCAUGUGCGGUGCUUGACGUCCUUGGACCCCCUUACUCAACAGAAGAUGGCCGUGACUGCACAUAUUACCAUGAUCAUCCUUACACCAGCGAUUCAGGAAUUGGUUAUGCACUUGCUAAAGAAUUUCUAAAGGCGGGUGACAAUGUCAUAGUUUGCUCAAGAUCAGGUGAGCGUGUAGAAUUAGCAGUUCAACAGUUGAGGCAGGAAUUUGGAGAGCAGCAUGUGUGGGGAACUGUUUGUGAUGUUAGAGAAGGAAAGGAUGUCAAGGCACUAGUUGCUUUCGCAAGUGACAACCUGAAUUACAUUGAUAUAUGGAUUAACAAUGCUGGAUCAAAUGCAUACAAUUACAAACCACUGGCUGAAACUUCAGAUGAUGUUCUUAUGGAAAUUGUCACAACGAACACUCUUGGUUUGAUGAUAUGUUGCCGCGAGGCAAUAAAUAUGAUGCUCAACCAACCUCGAGGUGGCCACAUUUUUAACAUUGAUGGAGCUGGUUCAGAUGGAAGGCCGACCCCUCGAUUUGCUGCAUAUGGUGCAACCAAACGCAGUGUGGUGCACCUAACCAAAUCCCUACAGUUGAAAUCCACUCUUGGGUUUGAUAAGGUCUAAAAGUAUCUUGUUUGAGGACAGUAAGCUACCUCAAAUUGUUUUCCAAUUAUGAAGUUCUUUCAAAGGAUUGCAAAGUCAACAAGAUAUGUUUUUUACAGUUAUUUUGAUUUUUGGUAUUCUUUCCUUCUUUUCUUCUCUGCCAGUAUGCGAAAACACUGGUUUUGGUUUUACCAUGAGCUGAGUUUCUAAUUAUGUUUGACAUCCAGGCAGAGUUGCAGAUGCAUCAAGUGAAGAAUGUUAUGGUGCACAGCUUAUCGCCUGGCAUGGUCACAACCGAUCUUCUUAUGUCUGGGGCCACCACAAAACAAGCUAAAUUUUUCAUCAAUAUUUUGGCCGAGCCGCCUGAUGUGGUUGCAGAGUACCUCGUGCCAUGCAUCAGAUCGAUCCCCAGCAGUCAGUCUAUGAAGCCCACCUACAUUCGAUUUCUCACAGGCUUGAAAGCCUACUCCCAGAUAUUCUCUAGACUUGCUUUCGGUGCCAGAAGAAAUAGAUACCUCAUUGAAGACUGAGACUGUUGACAAAAAUCCUAGACCCUCGGAGGUAAUUUAGCAAUUCGCAUGCAGUGCUGCACAUCUGGAUGAUUCUUUGGUUAGACAAAUAAACCAGCUGUACAAGUCUCUGGAACUAUCGCCAUUGAGGACAGGAUGAUUUGGACAAUGGAGUUGUUUACUGGGAAUGUUAGAAGACACCAUCAUGGAGAAUGAUACGAGACUACGUCCUUGCUAAAAUACUGGCGAAGUUUGGAGGCUUGGGCAAUCAUAAUACUUUCUGCUUUCCAUGAACUGAUGAACCAAUAAAGGGACUUGCUAUUUGGUGUUGAACAGUGUAUAGCAUCAUUUCAGUGGAUGAGCACCUGAGUACCAUUGUGUUUCAUGUCCCACAUUUGUGGGUGCCUCUUUGGCUGAGAAUGCUAGAACACGCUUGUUGCAUGCAACUGGAUCCAUGCUCCCGUAUUCCUCAUUUCAACGAGGGUUGCGGAGGGCAAAUAGGAAAUUAUAUGAUCUAACAGGCAAAUAAAAGGGGAACUUGAGUGAAAAAAGACACUGAUGACAGGAUGCCGAAAAGCAGCUGGUGCAAUGCAACCCACUAUUACAAUUCCUGUUACUAUCGGAAAUCUGCUGAUGCCAGAUGGUUAAGACUGGUCGGCCGAUGUAUAUCAUGAUUGUAGAAAACUGUUGGAUUUCAACUACUGAGCAAGAAGUAGACAUCUUGCAUUAUUUACUACCCUAAUCUGCAGGCUCAUUGGACUCAGCUUUUCCAACGUGUGGUAAGGGGGGAGGUAAUAGCCUCAUUCUUAUAUUGAAAGGAGGGCCCAAGGCAGCAGCGUUCGCAAGGGAAGCAAACUCUUGAGGCCUUUUGUCCAUCCCAUUUCUUUCCUUCCAUUAGCAUCCUCCAACUUUUAAUAAAAUUGGAAUUAUAUGCA